GUACUGAGACACGGACCAGACUCCUACGGGAGGCAGCAGUGGGGAAUAUUGGGCAAUGGAGGAAACUCUGACCCAGCGACGCCGCGUGCGGGAUGAAGGCCUUCGGGUUGUAAACCGCUUUCAGCAGGGAAGAAGCGAAAGUGACGGUACCUGCAGAAGAAGCACCGGCUAACUAUGUGCCAGCAGCCGCGGUAAUACAUAGGGUGCAAGCGUUGUCCGGAAUUAUUGGGCGUAAAGAGCUCGUAGGUGGUUCGUCACGUCGGAUGUGAAACUCUGGGGCUUAACCCCAGACCUGCAUUCGAUACGGGCGAGCUUGAGUAUGGUAGGGGAGUCUGGAAUUCCUGGUGUAGCGGUGGAAUGCGCAGAUAUCAGGAGGAACACCAAUGGCGAAGGCAGGACUCUGGGCCAUUACUGACACUGAGGAGCGAAAGCGUGGGGAGCGAACAGGAUUAUAUACCCUGGUAGUCCACGCCGUAAACGAUGAUAACUAGCUGUUCGGGCUCUACGAGCUUGAGUGGCGCAGCUAACGCAUUAAGUUAUCCGCCUGGGGAGUACGGUCGCAAGAUUAAAACUCAAAGGAAUUGACGG
rnacentral:rRNA from 1 species